rnacentral:rRNA from 1 species
AACGAACGCUGGCGGCAUGCCUAACACAUGCAAGUCGAACGAGACCUUCGGGUCUAGUGGCGCACGGGUGCGUAACGCGUGGGAACCUGCCCUUAGGAUCGGAAUAACUUCCCGAAAGGGGUGCUAAUACCGGAUAAUGUCUUCGGACCAAAGAUUUAUGGCCUUUGGAUGGGCCCGCGUUGGAUUAGCUAGUUGGUAGGGUAAAAGCCUACCAAGGCGACGAUCCAUAGCUGGUCUGAGAGGAUGAUCAGCCACACUGGGACUGAGACACGGCCCAGACUCCUACGGGAGGCAGCAGUGGGGAAUAUUGGACAAUGGGCGAAAGCCUGAUCCAGCAAUGCCGCGGGAGUGAUGAAGGCCUUAGGGUUGUAAAGCUCUUUUACCCGGGAUGAUAAUGACAGUAGCGGGAGAAUAAGCUCCGGCUAACUCCGUG